CAGCCCCACUGUUUCACAACACCCCAGCUCGUUCGUGCCCUGAGGAGAGGGACCAUCCGUCCCCACACCCGGUCCACAGCACCGCACCCGACUCAGCCCCAGCAUCGACCAGAAGUCCCCGGCCCUCAGACCGGCCGCCCAGAGACAGUGGGAGUGAGGAGGCCACACACCGUCCAGGUUGAAUCACUGCGUUUUACUGAGUGCACAGGUCCACCUGGCGUCCGAACUCGUCCCCGUGGCAGCAGGGAUCCCCAGAACCUUCCACGGCCAUCGCGGCCGCAGGACCCCACACCCGAAGUCCCCCGCAAACCCGCACUGGCGCAUUCUUACGGCUCUGGCAUCAACCUGUCCGUGUGAGUAAGUUAAUAUCUCAGCUAAUCUGUUAGAAAACUAGAGUUCAUUCCCUGGGCGUCUAUCCCUAGAAAAUGGACGGUGCACAAAGUUGAGAUUGAAGUGUGCGGGGUAACACAUCCACCAAAAAAAGGCCUGGUCACUACGGCACAAGGACACAUACAAAAUGGUCAGAAGUGUACGUCGGUACUGAAGGCAUUAUGAAAUGUUCUUUGGAGCAUGAACAAAAGUGCAGACAGCCAGAGGCAACGGCGCAAAUGGGGAAGCUGCAGCCACCGUCACGGCCAGAGGAUGGCAGACUGCAAUGGCGUGGGGCGCGGGCAUGGCGGGCACACGUGGGCCGUGUGGAUCCCGGGCAGAGGGAUGGCGUCCAGCGGGACCACCAGCUCUGGGCGCCUCAGUGCGAGACCCCUCCGUGAGACCCCUCCUGCCCUGCGCGUGUCUCUGGAGCCCGUCCCUUGGGCCCCUCGCCCGCCCCACCUGUUCGCAGGGUCCAGGGCGUCCGUACCUGGCACAGCCAGGGGGCAUGGGGCGACCUCAGGGAGUUCCUGUCCACAUGCAUUAAGGCAACGACUUUGUAAAACCCAGGCGGAGUUGGCGUGUGGCGAUGGCGAUGUGCACGUGCCUGCCUGGUAGCCCCGGGGACCGGCCCCUCCUUGCUGGCGCCUGGCCGAGAGUCAGACGCUGAGGACCUCUCAGGACGGGGCCCCUGGCCAGAGCCAGUCUCCUCGGCCAGCCAGGGGCACCACGGCAAGUGUCCAAGCCCAGAGCACACUCAACUCCACCCCACAAACGCCUUUUAAAACUCUGAAGAGGCCCCUCCAUCCCAAAUGGUCCCCUCCCGUCUCUCCUCCUCCACCGUUGCCCACAACCUCCCCCGGCGAUGUCACCUCCUCCCAGGGUCGGCCGUCAGCCCCCACCCUUACAAGACGGCAAAGUUCAGCAAACUGGAACCCCCAUUCACUCAUGCUCCCGGGUCAUGGAAAGCUCCUGGGUGUGCAGCUUCUCUAGGUCUCCCGGAGGGACAGGAACCUGCGUAUUCCCUCGACCCCGGAGUCCACCAUCCCACAUCCUUCAGGAAGCCGCCCUGGCUGUCUCUCCGGCUGCUUAGCGCUUUGCUGGGGCCGAGGUGGAGACUGCGCGCUGGGUGGGAAUGCAGGAUGGCUGCCCGGCACAGCCACACAGGCUCCCCAGGCGGCCAUUCCGUCCUGCAGCCCCUAAAGGCCCUGACCAGGCCUCUUCACGCCACCCCCAUGCCCUGGACAUACGUGCAUGUGACCUGGGAGUUCUGCAUGGGUGUGGGGGUUGGGGGAGGCACCGGACAGGAUCAGAGGACACUGGGGGCACCCGUGCACUGAGCACCCACCCCUCAGAGCUCAGCCCCCUGCUGGGCACCCUCCACAGCAGGUCCAAGCCUCGUGAGCUGUCCCUCUCACACCACGUCUGCUGGGCACCCUCCAUGGCAGGUCCAAGCCUUGUGAACCGUCCCUCUCACACGUCUGCCGGGCACCCUCCACCAGGUCCAAGCCUCGUGAGCCAUCCCUCUCAUACCACGUCUGCUGGGCACCCUCCACGGCAGGUCCAAGCCUCAUGAGCCAUCUCUCUCCCACCACGUCUGCUGGGCACCCUCCACAGCAGGUCCAAGCCUCGUGAGCCGUCCCUCUCACGCCACGUCUGCCGGGCACCCUCCACGGCAGGUCCGAGCUUUGUGAACCGUCCCUCUCACGUCUGCUUUGAGGGUUUGUGU
rnacentral:lncRNA from 1 species